UGAUGGCUUGGGAUGAGGAAGACAUCCGCGCCGUUCAGAUCGGCGAGCCGUGGACCGUCGGGCAAUUCGAGUUCGAAUUGCAGGGCGUCGA
rnacentral:tRNA from 1 species